rnacentral:ncRNA from 1 species
AAUGCUGGACACGGGAGCCCCGGGUGGCUGCGGGGCUGAGAGUGGGCACAACCAGGCGAACUGGGCCUGCCCUGACCGUCACACCUGAUCCGGGUCAUGCCGGCGAAGGGAGGCGAAGGAUGAGCAUG